GGAGGAGAAAAGGGAUCCCACUGGGUGGGGAGGCAGCGAUCGGCCCCUGAAGGGCAGAGGAGACCCCAAGGGCUGAGAGGAGGGAGAGAGAGACUUGCCCGAGGGGGGGGGGAUCUUUCCUCACGUAUUUCCCCACCUGUUUCCCCACACUUUUCCUCACACAUUUUCCCACCUUUCCCCACAUCUUUCCUCACGUAUUUCCCCACCUGUUUCCCCACACUUUUCCUCACACAUUUUCCCACCUUUCCCCACAUCUUUCCUCACGUAUUUCCCCACCUGUUUCCCCACACUUUUCCUCACACAUUUUCCCACCUUUCCCCACAUCUUUCCUCACGUAUUUCCCCACCUGUUUCCCCACACUUUUCCUCACACAUUUUCCCACCUUUCCCCACAUCUUUCCUCACGUAUUUCCCCACCUGUUUCCCCACACUUUUCCUCACACAUUUUCCCACCUUUCCCCACAUCUUUCCUCACGUAUUUCCCCACCUGUUUCCCCACACUUUUCCUCACACAUUUUCCCACCUUUCCCCACAUCUUUCCUCACGUAUUUCCCCACCUGUUUCCCCACACUUUUCCUCACACAUUUUCCCACCUUUCCCCACAUCUUUCCUCACGUAUUUCCCCACCUGUUUCCCCACACUUUUCCUCACACAUUUUCCCACCUUUCCCCACAUCUUUCCUCACGUAUUUCCCCACCUGUUUCCCCACACUUUUCCUCACACAUUUUCCCACCUUUCCCCACAUCUUUCCUCACGUAUUUCCCCACCUGUUUCCCCACACUUUUCCUCACACAUUUUCCCACCUUUCCCCACAUCUUUCCUCACACAUUUCCCCACCUGUUUCCCCACACUUUUCCUCACACAUUUUCCCACCUUUCCCCACAUCUUUCCUCACACAUUUCCCCACCUGUUUCCCCACACUUUUCCUCACACAUUUUCCCACCUUUCCCCACAUCUUUCCUCACACAUUUCCCCACCUGUUUCCCCACACUUUUCCUCACACAUUUUCCCACCUCUCCCCACACCUUUCCUCACACGUUUUCUCAUGUUUCCCCACACCUUUCCCCACACGGUGCCCCACACGCUUCCCCUGCCCCAGCCUGCCGGCCCCGGACAGCCACCCUCCCUCACGCCGGCUGAGGCCGGCCGCCAGGGCCGCCCCUCC
rnacentral:lncRNA from 1 species